rnacentral:rRNA from 1 species
AAAGGUUCCCUCAGAAUGGUUGGAAAUCAUUCGUAGCGUGCAAAGGCAGAAGGGAGCUUGACUGCGAGACCUACAAGUCGAGCAGGGACGAAAGUCGGGCUUAGUGAUCCGGCGGUGCCGUAUGGAAGGGCCGUCGCUCAACGGAUAAAAGCUACCCCGGGGAUAACAGGCUUAUCUCCCCCAAGAGUCCACAUCGACGGGGAGGUUUGGCACCUCGAUGUCGGCUCAUCGCAUCCUGGGGCUGUAGUCGGUCCCAAGGUUGGGCUGUUCGCCCA